rnacentral:rRNA from 1 species
UACGAAGGGGGCUAGCGUUGCUCGGAAUCACUGGGCGUAAAGCGCACAUAGGCGGCUUUGUAAGUUAGAGGUGAAAGCCCGGAGCUCAACUCCGGAAUUGCCUUUAAGACUGCAUCGCUUGAACAUCGGAGAGGUGAGUGGAAUUCCGAGUGUAGAGGUGAAAUUCGUAGAUAUUCGGAAGAACACCAGUGGCGAAGGCGACUCACUGGACGAUUGUUGACGCUGAGGUGACGAAAGCGUGGGGAGCAAACAGG